AACGAACGCUGGCGGCAAGCUUAACACAUGCAAGUCGAACGAUGUAGCAAUACAUAGUGGCGGACGGGUGCAUAACACGUGGGAAUCUGCCUUUAGGUACGGAAUAACUCAGGGAAACUUGAGCUAAUACCGUAUAAAAUCUCCGGAUCAAAGAUUUAUCGCCUAAGGAUGAGCCCGCGUCAGAUUAGCUAGUUGGUGGGGUAACGGCCUACCAAGGCGACGAUCUGUAGCUGGUCUUAGAGGAUGAUCAGCCACACUGGGACUGAGACACGGCCCAGACUCCUACGGGAGGCAGCAGUGGGGAAUAUUGGACAAUGGGGGAAACCCUGAUCCAGCUAUGCCGCGUGAGUGAUGAAGGCCUUAGGGUUGUAAAGCUCUUUUAGAUGGGAAGAUAAUGACGGUACCAUCAGAAAAAGCCCCGGCUAACUUCGUGCCAGCCGCCGCCGUAA
rnacentral:rRNA from 1 species